rnacentral:misc_RNA from 1 species
ACAAAAUGGAUGGCAAUAAAUUGGAUGAUUUGGUAUGUGUGAGGCAUUCCUUGAAAUCCGAGGCAUAAGCAGCAACAUGCAACAGUGCAACUCUGUGAUUUGUGCUUCAGUUGGUGGCAAGGAGAAAGAUCUCUGCUGGUUAUUAUCAAUUGCCAUGAAACUUCCUUUGAGAUGAGCCUUUUGGAUGAUGAAUAUGUUAGCUUAUCAUUUCUGCCACAAUCACUUAAUUACUCAAGAGAAGUGAUUAAAUAUUUAUCAACUGUUACCAAAGAUAGCCUUGAAAUUUAGAGCCCAUUGUAGCAAUAUAUCCAUGUGCAAGGAGAAAUAGCAUGAAAUACAAACUACUGUGCAAUGAAACUAAAUCUCAUCCGAGAAAGUGACAUUAUAGGAUUUUCAACUUCUGCACACACAAAGGAGACAUUAUUAAUUUACUGGUGAAAUCCCUCCAGCUUUUGGAGGAUUAUUCUGAGGGAUUAUGGAUGGGCAAAGGUUUGUUGAUCAUAGAAACUGCUGUGUGAGUUUUUUUUGUGCUUUCUUUAUAUAGGGUAAGGAGGGUUUGACAUGUAUACUGCUUCAAUGCAUUUUAACAUUGGGAGUUUCAAGAGCAUCACAUCCAGUGGUUUGAGGGGCUUGGUGGUUCAUUUAUUAGCUAUAUUUUAUUAUUUUUUUUUUCAUACUAUUUAGCUUGCCG